UCCAGGGUAGCCUAGUGGUCAUGGCAUCUGCCCGGUAAGCGGUAGGUCGUGGGUUCGAUUCCCAUCCCUUGAAU
rnacentral:tRNA from 1 species